rnacentral:misc_RNA from 1 species
GAUGAAGAACGUAGCGAAAUGCGAUAAGUAAUGUGAAUUGCAGAAUUCAGUGAAUCAUCGAGUCUUUGAACGCACAUUGCGCCCCCUGGUAUUCCGGGGGGCAUGCCUGUCCGAGCGUCAUUGCUGCCCUCAAGCACGGCUUGUGUGUUGGGCCCCCGUCCCCGGUUUCCCCCGGGGACGGGCCCGAAAGGCAGCGGCGGCACCGCGUCCGGUCCUCGAGCGUAUGGGGCUUUGUCACCCGCUCUGUAGGCCCGGCCGGCGCCAGCCGACACCCAACUUUAUUUCUAAGGUUGACCUCGGAUCAGGUAGGGAUACCCGCUGAACUUAAGCAUAUCAAUAAGCGGGAGGA